rnacentral:rRNA from 1 species
UACGUAGGGUGCAAGCGUUAAUCGGAAUUACUGGGCGUAAAGCGUGCGCAGGCGGUUUUGUAAGUCUGAUGUGAAAUCCCCGGGCUUAACCUGGGAAUUGCAUUGGAGACUGCAAGGCUGGAGUCUGGCAGAGGGGGGUAGAAUUCCACGUGUAGCAGUGAAAUGCGUAGAGAUGUGGAGGAGCACCGAUGGCGAAGGCAAUCCCCUGGGCCUGUACUGACGCUCAUGCACGAAAGCGUGGGGAGCAAACAGG